ACGGACGCAGGGCGGGCCUGGCCCGGAGCCCCUCGGGUCCGGACGGACGCAGGGCGGGCCUGGCCCGGAGCCCCUCGGGUCCGGACGGACGCAGGGCGGGCCUGGCCCGGAGCCCCUCGGGUCCGGACGGACGCAGGGCGGGCCUGGCCCGGAGCCCCUCGGGUCCGGACGGACGCAGGGCGGGCCUGGCCCGGAGCCCCUCCGGUCCGGACGGACGCAGGGCGGGCCUGGCCCGGAGCCCCUCCGGUCCGGACGGACGCAGGGCGGGCCUGGCCCGGAGCCCCUCGGGUCCGGACGGACUGGCUCAGAGCCCCUCAGGUCUGGACGGACGCAGGGAGAGCCUCGCUCAGAGCCCCUCAGGUCUGGACAGACUGGCUCAGAGCCCCUCAGGUCUGGACGGACAUAGGGCGGGCCUGGCUCAGAGCCCCUCAGGUCUGGACGGACGUAGGGCGGGCCUGGCUCAGAGCCCCUCAGGUCUGGACGGACGUAGGGCGGGCCUGGCUCAGAGCCCCUCAGGUCUGGACGGACGCAGGGAGAGCCUGGCUCAGAGCCCCUCAGGUCUGGACGGACGUAGGGCGGGCCUGGCUCAGAGCCCCUCAGGUCUGGACGGAUGUCAGGAGAGCCUGGCUCAGAGCCCUUCAGGUCUGGACAGAGAUAGGGAGGGCCUAGCUCAGAGCACCCCGGGUCUAGAUUGACAGUUGAACACAGAUAUGGGGAUGAUACUGUAAUAUAUGCCAGGGACAAGGUCAGCCAUUAGGCAGACCCAGGAUCAGGUGAGCGUAAACAUAGGGUGGCUACAAACUGUCAGAGCAGCAGAUCAGCCUCUUACUAUGACAAGGGGAAGGGCCCAUAGCAGGACUCAUGUCAUCUCAUAUAUGGGCACUGGGGAAUUCGUUGUGAUUAGCCAGUUUUGAAAGGAUGUUGUUGCCACCCUGUUUGGACAUUACUUUUCUUGGGAGCACUUCGGCAACUUUGGUUGGCAGGGAGCUGGUGCCAGAAGCAUCGUCAGUGCAUAUAGCAGUAUCAUCACCAUGGAUACCCCCAUCACCUGCUGAAAUCCAGGGAUUUACUAUACCAAUAAGGCGGCUUUUAUCUGAUCCUGAAAGUUGUUCUGACCACGCCAGAUCAGGAGAAGGAACCUGCUACUCAUCCACCCAGGUCCUGUCACUUAUAUGCAGUGCCCUCUAUAUCAGAAUAGACUGGCAAGGGGCAAAUCUGAUGAGGCACCAGAUUAGAGAAUGCAGCCCACAGCAUUGAUGAGACAAAGAGCUAGCCCAUUGGACUAUGCUUUGUUUGGUAGACUCAUGGCUGAUAGGUCUCCAGGUUCCAUCUGUGGGGUGAAGCCCAACACUGGAGUCAUGCCCCUCCUGAGUACUGGUUAGUCACUUGUCUCGUAUACUGGUGCCAUUGAGUGGUUACUCAAGUUUUGUAUGGCAUGAGUCCAGAGAAAGCACUCUAUUUCAUCUCUUCUUGUUUUCAAGAGUUCUUGAUGUUAUUCAUUGGAUGGGGUGCUUCUGAAGCCAGUUCUAUACAUUUAUUUUGGUUCCAGACAUGUAUGUUGUGUGUCAUUGUUAUUCUGUGAGAAUCACAUUUCUUACAUUAGAAAGGUUUUGUGUUUCCCUGCAUAGAAUUUUUCAAAACUGUUCAGAGCACCUCUUGUUUUGUUACACUUAUAUUUCUAAUUACCUUGUCUGUAUUUCUGGCUCCAGCUGUCUCUCUGAGCUGGCAUUUAGUGUAAGUAGAGUGGGGACAGAGACUACUCUUCUUUUGAAGAUCAGGGGACACCUGUGUUUCACAGGAGAGAGAGCUCAGGGCCAGGAGAAGCAAAGAUGACUUUGAGCCAAUUUUCAUUGCCUGAACUCUUGGGUUGGCUGGGGACAAGUGCAGUCCCCACAGCUAUUCAAAUUUAUGGGUGCCCUAUGCAGUCUGCAUUGAAGCCCAGAAUCUUCGUAGCACUCAACACCCUGGAUACUCCCUCCCCAGGACAUCUCCCCAUACACAUUAUGCUAUGGGAUCAGAGUAGGGUGGCUGGAUGCUGCUCUUGUGCCAGAGAAAUUCUUCCCCAGCCUGUUGCGAUUUCUUUAAAUCCCUUCUGUGCAGCAUAUAGGGGGCCAGAACUGGCCCUUGAGCUUAUACACUUUCUCAUUGUGAAACUGGUAGACAUGGCUGAUUUCUAACAGGAGUAGGAGUAGGCAGGAUAUUUUACCUCUGAAUUUGGCACUAGUGUGACCACUGCUGGAAUACUGUGUCCAGUCCUGGUGUCUACUGUUCGAGGAGGAUGUUGAUAAAUUGGAGAGAGCGUUCAGAGAAGAGCCACAAGAAUGAUUAAAGGAUUAGAAAACAUGCCUUAUAGCGGUAGACCCAAGGACUGUAAUUGGAGUUAUCUUAACAGAGAGAGAGUUAAGGGAUGACUUGAUUACAGUCUGUAACUACCAAUAUUUAAUAAU